rnacentral:misc_RNA from 1 species
AAAGUCGUAACAAGGUUUCCGUAGGUGAACCUGCGGAAGGAUCAUUAUAGAUUAUUUUCAAAAAAUAAAUUGGGUCAGGUUGUUGCUGGCUUUUUCAAAAAGGAAAAGCAUGUGUGCACACCUUGCUUCAGUUUUUUUGAUCACCCUGUGCACCUCUUGUAGGUCUCGAACUGAUCGUUUUUCAGUGAAGAUAUUAAAAACUCUUCCCUGGUUGUGAGAAGAUGGUUUCAAAAACUCUUCUUGUGAUGAUGUUCAGAUCUAUGUUAUUUUCUUUCUACAUAAUACAUUUUGCUUAGUGGAAUGAUUGAUAAAAAUUCAAUUGUGAAAACAACUUUCAACAACGGAUCUCUUGGCUCUC